AACAAGGCUUUCGCUUCACUUCUCAUGCUCGUUUCUUGGGAGAUAUGGAAUGAGAGAAAUGCCGGAGUUUUUCGUAAAUUUACAUCUUUGCCUACAAUUAUUUUUGACAACAUCAAGAGAGAGACUAGGUUGUGGUGUAUCGCCGGGGCGAAGCACUUAGGAGCGAUCAUCCGGAGAGAGUAA
rnacentral:rRNA from 1 species